ACAUAGAAUCUUUCUCUCUCUAUAUAUAUAUUCUGUGGGUGGUGGUGCAUUGUUGUUCGUAGUUGGUGGAGCAAUUCGUCUGGUUGAUUCCGAUAAGGAGCCUGAUUCUAUAAUGUUAAAUAGUUAUGCGGCCCUUCAUGGUCAGUGUUGGCAAUUUCUUAGAGCGACAAAUGGCAUUUAGCCACGAUAGACUGAGCAAUAACAGGUCUGUGAUCUCCUUAGAU
rnacentral:ncRNA from 1 species